CAAUGCUGUCCUGGCACCAGUGACAUCAGUGGCCUGGCCUGGAGGGGACCUUGAAAGCUGUUCUUUGGACCCAGCAAAGCCCCACCGUGGUUGGAACGUGGGUCUCUGAGUGACUGCGUGGAGAAGAACCACUACCCUCUGCCCAAUGUAUUGGUGACAUCAGUGAGCUGUAAACUGUUAUUGGACUAAGCCAUCAAGAUUUGGGCGUUUGUUUGUUACCACAGCAACACCUGCUUUGCACGGACUAAUACAUCA
rnacentral:lncRNA from 1 species